CCUACGGGAGGCAGCAGUGAGGAAUAUUGGUCAAUGAACGAGAGUCUGAACCAGCCACGUAGCGUGAAGGAUGACUGCCCUCUGGGUUGUAAACUUCUUUUAUAUGGGAAUAAAAUGUUCCACGUGUGGGAUUUUGUAUGUACCAUAUGAAUAAGGAUAGGCUAACUCCGUUCCAGCAGCCGCGGUAAUACGGAGGAUCCGAGCGUUAUCCGGAUUUAUUGGGUUUAAAGGGAGCGUAGGUGGAUUGUUAAGUCAGUUGUGAAAGUUUGCGGCCCAACCGUAAAAUUGCAGUUGAAACUGGCAGACUUGAGUACAGUAGAGGUGGGCGGAAUUCGAGGUGUAGCGGUGAAAUGCUUAGAUAUCACGAAGAACUCCGAUUGCGAAGGCAGCUCACUGGACUGCAACUGACACUGAGGCUCGAAAGUGUGGGUAUCAAACAGGAUUAGAUACCCCUGUAGUC
rnacentral:rRNA from 1 species